rnacentral:rRNA from 1 species
GACUCUCGACAAUGGAUAUAUCGGCUCUUGCGUCGAUGAAGAAUGUAGCAAAAUACAGUACUUGAUGUGAAUUGCAUAAUCCUGUGAACCAUCGAGUCUUUGAACGUAAGUUGCGCCUGAAGCCAUUAGGUCGAGGGCACACUUGACUGAGUGUUG